GACAGAGGGUGCAAACGUUGUUCGGAAUUACUGGGCGUAAAGCGCGUGUAGGCGGUCGGGCAAGUCGGGUGUGAAAGCCCAGGGCUCAACCCUGGAAGUGCAUUCGAUACUGCCUGGCUAGAGUCUCGGAGAGGGUGGUGGAACUCUCGGUGUAGAGGUGAAAUUCGUAGAUAUCGAGAAGAACACCUGUGGCGAAGGCGGCCACCUGGACGAUGACUGACGCUGAGACGCGAAAGCGUGGGGAGCAAACAGG
rnacentral:rRNA from 1 species